GACGAACCGUGCGAACGUUGUUCGGAAUCACUGGGCUUAAAGGGCGCGUAGGCGGCCGCACAAGCCCCGGGUGAAAGCCCCCGGCUCAACCUGGGGAACGGCCCGGGGGACGUGUGCGGCUCGAGGGGGGGUAGGGGGGCACGCGGAACAUCCGGUGGAGCGGUGAAAUGCGUUGAGAUCGGAUGGAACGCCGGUGGCGAAAGCGGCGUGCUGGACCCCGCCUGACGCUGAGGCGCGAAAGCCAGGGGAGCGAACAGG
rnacentral:rRNA from 1 species